CUGAUGCAGCGACGCCGCGUGAGGGAUGACGGCCUUCGGGUUGUAAACCUCUUUCAGUAAGGAAGAAGCGAAAGUGACGGUACUUGCAGAAGAAGCGCCGGCUAACUACGUGCCAGCAGCCGCGGUAAUACGUAGGGCGCGAGCGUUAUCCGGAAUUAUUGGGCGUAAAGAGCUCGUAGGCGGUUUGUCGCGUCUGCCGUGAAAGUCCGGGGCUUAACUCCGGAUCUGCGGUGGGUACGGGCAGGCUAGAGUGCAGUAGGGGAGACUGGAAUUCCUGGUGUAGCGGUGAAAUGCGCAGAUAUCAGGAGGAACACCGAUGGCGAAGGCAGGUCUCUGGGCUGUAACUGACGCUGAGGAGCGAAAGCAUGGGUAGCGAACAGGAUUAGAUAC
rnacentral:rRNA from 1 species